rfam:Ictidomys tridecemlineatus contig112717, whole genome shotgun sequence.
GGGAUUGUGGCUCAGUGGUAGAGCACUUGCCUGGCAUGUGUCAGGCACUGGGUUCAAUUCUCAGCACCA